CUCGGAAUCACUGGGCGUAAAGGGCGCGUAGGCGGAUUAUCAAGUCUCUUGUGAAAUCUAAUGGCUUAACCAUUAAACUGCUUGGGAAACUGAUAGUCUAGAGUGAGGGAGAGGCAGAUGGAAUUGGUGGUGUAGGGGUAAAAUCCGUAGAUAUCACCAAGAAUACCCAUUGCGAAGGCGAUCUGCUGGAACUCAACUGACGCUAAGGCGCGAAAGCGUGGGGAGCAAACAGGAUUAGAUACCCUGGUAGUCCACGCCCUAAACGAUGUACACUAGUUGUUGGGAUGCUAGUCAUCUCAGUAAUGCAGCUAACGCAUUAAGUGUACCGCCUGGGGAGUACGGUCGCAAGAUUAAAACUCAAAGGAAUAGACGGGGACCCGCACAAGCGGUGGAGCAUGUGGUUUAAUUCGAAGAUACGCGAAGAACCUUACCUGGGCUUGAUAUCCUAAGAACCUUAUAGAGAUAUGAGGGUGCUAGCUUGCUAGAACUUAGAGACAGGUGCUGCACGGCUGUCGUCAGCUCGUGUCGUGAGAUGUUGGGUUAAGUCCCGCAACGAGCGCAACCCACGUAUUUAGUUGCUAACGGUUCGGCCGAGCACUCUAAAUAGACUGCCUUCGUAAGGAGGAGGAAGGUGUGGACGACGUCAAGUCAUCAUGGCCCUUAUGCCCAGGGCGACACACGUGCUACAAUGGCAUAUACAAUGAGACGCAAUACCGCGAGGUGGAGCAAAUCUAUAAAAUAUGUCCCAGUUCGGAUUGUUCUCUGCAACUCGAGAGCAUGAAGCCGGAAUCGCUAGUAAUCGUAGAUCAGCCAUGCUACGGUGA
rnacentral:rRNA from 1 species